rnacentral:lncRNA from 1 species
GAGCGUUGGAGACGUCCUGCGCGUCACCGGAUCUUCGAACCGUCUUUCCUUAAGUUUCACUUUCUGUAGCUGAGAACGGAACCGCUGCAGCGACACUCACGGACUUGAGGGUUUCUGAGCUCAGAUAACAAACAGCAGUUUUAAGCCCGUUCCGUUCAGGUGACGCCAUGUCACGUUUACUGAAGGAAAUAAAGAAGGUCAACGCAGACGCAGCUCGAACACUGGAGGGUGCCGAUUUACGCACCGACCCGGAGCUCCAGUCGUUGACUCGGGACGACCUGCGUGACCUGUUUCCUCAAGUGGGCAAAUUCAAGCUGCGGAGACAAAUCUUUGACAUAAUACACACGCAAAAGCCGAUCGAUUUUCUCCUACAAGAUAUGAGGUCAUUCGUCCCAGAGCAAUCUUUAAGAGCUGCUCUAACUGAGAACGGGGUCUUGGCUGACUACCUCAAAGUCCUGAAGGACACGAAGACCCAGCUGAAUAGCGUGCGGACCUUCCUCGACGCUCAUAUCGAUCUGCUGGAGGGCAUCAGCGCAAAUCCGCCGGCGCCUGAGCCCCACGGAGGUUUUCAGGCAUCUCAUCCUCCCAAUUACCAAACAGAGUCUUUCCAAAGAACAAGCACUUCACCCACCUGUGGCCCAGUGGAUUCCUACAAAGCAAACACUUUUUAUCCACAAGGGGACGUCAGCCUGACACGGUCUCCUUCUCAAUCCUCCGGUUUUCAACAGCAGUCACAAGUCAAAUGUAGGAUGGUGGUCACAGGAAAAACUUUUAAUGCUGACCUGCAGCUGCUGGAGAAAGUGAGGAGUAACUCUCCAAACUUGGACUUGGUUUGUCACAAUGUGGAGGACCCAAGCGAUCAGGACUACCAGGUCACCAUCGUCUUCUGCCCUAUUAUUUCACGUAUUGGGACAGAUGUUGAGGCAGCCAUGCGUAACGUUACUGGUGACAAGCCUGUCAUUCUGGUGAUAAUGGAACACAAACCGGAGGCCACGAGUAUGAGCCAUAUGAGAACAUGGCACGAUGACCCUAAGAUUGUGUUGCAUGUCUGCAUUUUCUAUCAUGAGACGAAGCAUGGAUUACUGCAGUGUCCUCAAAAUACUGAGGCGGUCUCACGGAUUCAAGGGAAACUGCUUGAGUACAGCAUUAAAAUAAAUCAGUAUACUCAUAGAAAUAGUCAGGAAAGGACCAGAAAGACCAGUAGCAAGGAUUCUAAUGCUGACAGUAGUGGUGUGAUGACUUGGUUUGGGUUUAGAAAAACAUAAUGUGACUGUCUCAUAAUAAAGAAAAAUAAAGGUCAGUGUUGCUUGAACA